GAUAUAUAGAGGGGCUGGAGUGGAUGAUUGGAGGUGUGAGGGGAGAAGGCUUGUGAGUAAUGUAGGAGAGUUUGCAGAGAGCCCUGUGGAGACAUUUAAUGGCAGUGUCAGGGUAGGGUGAUGAUGAGGCCUGAGCUGGGUGUGUGUCCUGGGACAGGAGACUUGUGCACGGGGUGGCUUCUGACCUGGGCAGGAAUUUAGGGUGGGAAGCUCAAGUGUACCAAGUUCUUGUGCCUGAAAGUCUCCCAGUAGCACUGAUUCCUGGCUCUUGUGUUCUGACAGCAACCCUAAAAUGCAGUCAUUGAUGCUCAGGGCUUGAAUCUGUCCCAGCUCUCCACCCUCUUUUGCAUCCUGCCAGUUUCUCUAAUAUAGCCCUCUUUCCUCUCCUCAGGCCCACACUCUGCUUCCUUCUGCUCUUCCCCAGCCCCACUCCCUCCCACCCUCACAAAGUUUUAGUCUACCUCUCUUGGCCCCAUUAGUACUGCAGAGCACACCAUGACCGUCAAAGAGAAGGGAGAAUUGGGAGGGGAGGGUAAGAGACAGCAACUGGACACAGAAGGCCAUGGAGGAUCUUGGCACAGGAAUUCAAUGGACAAAGCAUAGGUGUACCCCAUCGCCACUGAUGUCCUCUGCCAUGCUGCAGACCCACCUUGGCCACCAGUAGAGGACUCUCAUUGGAGCAGGCACAGGAGGAAGUGCGUCUGGUGCCAACUCAGUAGCCUUGGCCCGAGCUGCUGCUUGAGGAACCCCAAUCACUGGGUAAGCUCGUGGAAGAGCGAGGAAUCUUGGCUGACCUGCAGAGCCCCUCAUGCCACUGACCAGCUUCAGACAUCAGAGCUACAGCGUGCAAAUAUAUCUGAGAGGAAAGGAGGUCCGGCCCAUUGGUUAAUGUGCAAGUGCUGCGCAGCGUGGGACAAAUAACAGGUAAGCAGAAGCUUAAAGAAAAGCUGGUGAUGAAAUCCCACUGCUGUGCAUCAGUGUAUCCUUGAAUUGCUUUAGUCUGAGAGGUAAAUCAAAAAACUACAUCCCCGAGAUUAAGAAUAAUUCUAUCUUUCUGAGAGUAAUGAGAAUUUGCACUAAUUUGCACUUAUUUACACAAUAAACAAUAAUACACACUAAUACA
rnacentral:lncRNA from 1 species